rnacentral:rRNA from 1 species
GUACACUCCUACGGGAGGCAGCAGUGGGGAAUUUUGGACAAUGGGCGAAAGCCUGAUCCAGCAAUGCCGCGUGAGUGAAGAAGGCCUUCGGGUUGUAAAGCUCUUUUGUCAGGGAAGAAACGGUGAAAGCUAAUAUCUUUUGCUAAUGACGGUACCUGAAGAAUAAGCACCGGCUAACUACGUGCCAGCAGCCGCGGUAAUACGUAGGGUGCAAGCGUUAAUCGGAAUUACUGGGCGUAAAGCGUGCGCAGGCGGUUUUGUAAGUCUGAUGUGAAAUCCCCGGGCUCAACCUGGGAAUUGCAUUGGAGACUGCAAGGCUAGAAUCUGGCAGAGGGGGGUAGAAUUCCACGUGUAGCAGUGAAAUGCGUAGAUAUGUGGAGGAACACCGAUGGCGAAGGCAGCCCCCUGGGUCAAGAUUGACGCUCAUGCACGAAAGCGUGGGGAGCAAACAGGAUUAGAAACCCUUGUAGUCCC